AGUGAACGCUGGCGGUAGGCCUAACACAUGCAAGUCGAACGGCAGCACUGAGGAGCUUGCCCCUUGGGUGGCGAGUGGCGGACGGGUGAGGAAUACAUCGGAAUCUACUCUGUCGUGGGGGAUAACGUAGGGAAACUUACGCUAAUACCCCAUACGACCUACGGGUGAAAGCAGGGGAUCUUCCGACCUUGCGCGAUUGAAUGAGCCGAGGUCGGAUUAGCUAGUUGGCGGGGUAAAGGCCCACCAAGGCGACGAUCCGUAGCUGGUCUGAGAGGAUGAUCAGCCACACUGGAACUGAGACACGGUCCAGACUCCUACGGGAGGCAGCAGUGGGGAAUAUUGGACAAUGGGCGCAAGCCUGAUCCAGCCAUACCGCGUGGGUGAAGAAGGCCUUCGGGUUGUAAAGCCCUUUUGUUGGGAAAGAAAUCCAUCUGGUUAAUACCCGGGUGGGAUGACGGUACCCAAAGAAUAAGCACCGGCUAACUUCGUGCCAGCCGCCGCCGUAA
rnacentral:rRNA from 1 species